CAAUAAGCGGAGGAAAAGAAACCCAACCGGGAUUGCCUCAGUAACGGCGAGUGAAGCGGCAAGAGCUCAAAUUUGAAAUCUGGCCCCUUUGGGGUCCGAGUUGUAAUUUGCAGAGGAUGCUUCGGGUGCGGUCCCCGUCUAAGUGCCCUGGAACGGGCCGUCAUAGAGGGUGAGAAUCCCGUCUGGGAUGGGCGGCCGCGCCCGUGUGAAGCUCCUUCGACGAGUCGAGUUGUUUGGGAAUGCAGCUCUAAGCGGGUGGUAAAUUUCAUCUAAAGCUAAAUACUGGCCGGAGACCGAUAGCGCACAAGUAGAGUGAUCGAAAGAUGAAAAGCACUUUGAAAAGAGAGUUAAACAGCACGUGAAAUUGUUGAAAGGGAAGCGUUGUCCACCAGACUCGCCCGGGGGGGUUCAGCCGGCACGUGUGCCGGUGUACUCCUCUCCGGGCGGGCCAGCAUCGGUUUGGGCGGCUGGUGAAAGGCCCCGGGAAUGUAACACCCUCCGGGGUGCCUUAUAGCCCGGGGUGCCAUACAGCCAGCCUGGACCGAGGCCCGCGCUUCGGCGAGGAUGCUGGCGUAAUGGUGGUCAACGGCCCGUCUUGAAACACGGACCAAGGAGUCUAACAUCUAUGCGAGUGUUCGGGUGUCAAACCCGUCCGCGCAGUGAAAGCGAACGGAGGUGGGAGCCUUUCGGGGCGCACCAUCGACCGAUCCUGAUGUCUUCGGAUGGAUUUGAGUAAGAGCAUAGCUGUUGGGACCCGAAAGAUGGUGAACUAUGCCUGAAUAGGGCGAAGCCAGAGGAAACUCUGGUGGAGGCUCGCAGCGGUUCUGACGUGCAAAUCGAUCGUCAAAUUUGGGUAUAGGGGGCGAAAGACUAAUCGAACCAUCUGGUAGCUGGUC
rnacentral:rRNA from 1 species